ensembl:lncRNA
CAACAAUGUCAGACAGCAGACUCCACACAUUUUCUGCAUUUUGUAAUUCAUAAUGCAGUAUAAACAUUGCUCUAUACUCUCAUGCAUUUUCUAUCUAAUUACUCAUACAAGAACAAUGUGUAUAAUUCUUCAUGAAUGCAUUAUAAAAAGUUGGGAAUGUAUUCGUAGUUUAUUCAGAAUCCACAUGGCUUUGUUGAAAAUGUUAGCCAUUUUUAAAAAUCUGAUUAUGGAUUUAUGACUCAUAAAUUUCUCAUUAUUGCAUUCAAGAAAGAAUGAUUAGUUCAUCAGUUAUAGAAAUAUAACUCCAGAGACACACGUUCUCCAACCUCUGUGUGUGUGUGUGUGUGUGUGUGUGUGUGUGUGUGUGUGUGUGUGUGUGUGUGUGUGUUCGUUCUUUGGAAAUUUUAACAAGCUCCAACGAAUGAAUCCAAAAACAGUGAAUCGUUCUGGGGUUGUUGUUUUUUUUUCCUCUUGUCCUGCAGAAAUAAUUUAUUGCGUGUAUUUCUCUGAAUCAUCCCUGAAUCAUUCAGUUCCAGGAAAGAGUCAUCCAGUUCUACAAUACUGAACAGAACUUCCUGAAAGGCUGACGGGCCAUUUUUCAACGUUCUGACCCGAGCGCGGAUCAGAAGCUCAACAUCUGCCUACCUGCCUCUGGAUCUUUCUCCUCCUCUGCUCGGGCGCUCUGGGAUUUUCCAUGCUCAUGCCCUCCAGGGGUUAUGGAUUUGAGGGGAGGUGUGGGGGCUGUUCAGGGGAACCGCACGGCCGCAGGUAGCACAGACCAGGUCUUUCAGCCUCGCCUUCGCCCUCACUGACCCACAGCGCGCCUCAGCACCGGGACGUCUAAAGCAUUCCUUCCGUCUCGGAUGUAGAAACUUCGACCCGUGCGUUUGCGUCCCAAGUAGCAUAAUUACUGCUGACUGAGACUUGACUCUGAACAGAACGACGAGGGGCUGAAGGAACAGCUGUUUAUAGCUGCUAUAACUUCUUUCACGAAUGUUCCACAACAUUACAUUACAUAUUAAAUGCAUAAAAAGUAUGUCAUGUUCUUUAAUCGUUCUUUUGUUAUGCUCUCAAAGCCACAUCCGGCAACUUCUCCCACCGUCUUACGUCCUAACAUCAUACCAUAACAUCAUGACAUGCUCCUACAGUAUCGAGGUUGGUGCGUUUUGAUUCCUCAAGCCAAAAUGUUCGACAGAAACCAAAUGAAACCAUAAAAACAAGACGGGCGAAUGUUAAUGAGCUGAUUUGCAUGUUAAACAUAGAUACAGCAAUCAGAAUUGACUACAAGUGGAAACCUACUCGGUUGAAAUCCAAGCAGAAUCCAAUCCGUGUAUAUGUACAUAAGCUCUUAGACACUUCAGCUACCUCGCUUUCGAAUAGUCCACUAACAUGUACAGUAUCGUCGUGUUAAGUAUCGGGAAUCUGACCGCAGACGAUUACUCAGAAACGCCGGUUCUGCGGAGUAAAGACGAUCGUUCGCUUCGAGGCACUUUGUGCUCUCCCGCGGUUACUCACUCGUCUGUGUUUAUCGUUUAUCACUGAAUCCAUUCCCUCCCUCAAGUCUGAUAAAACCCAGAGUAGGGAUUAGAAGACGACGGCAAAGACAAACGCAUUUCCUGAACAUUUCAUUUGUCCGCGUCAUCUCGGCCGAACGUAUAAGUCUCUUUGCCGGAGAGGAGAAAAAAAAAAAAAACGCUUUAAAAUUAAAAAAAAUUUUCAUUUAACGUUGAUCGAUUUGAGCAACUUGACGGAUUUCAAUUUGCAGCUACAGAGAUCUGGGUGGUUUCUAUUUAUUUAUUUAUUUAUUUUACCCAGAAGAUUAACUGGUUGAAUAACGCCAUCAUAAUCGCUGAUUCCGAACACCGUGAAACAAUGCUAGCUACAGCAGCUUGCUUUAUCUAUGCUAGUAAAUCGGUUUUAAAAGAGAGAGGGAAAAAAAAUUCACUUUUAAUUCCUUUGUAUGUGGAAAGAAGUAGCUGUGAACUCACAGCAUGAACGUACAAUCCGUUUGAUAAUAAAUCCUCACUUCGCGGAGGACGUUCCGCCCGUUUAUGAUCGAAAUGAAAAGUCACUUCUAGCCAUUUCUUUCGAAUGAAGCGUAUUCGCAAGCUUUGAAAGCGUAUGGCUCGGACGAGUGUCUGUAGAACUCUUUCGUUGCGGUUUGUUCGUCAUGAGGUGUGCUACUGAAUGUUGUUACGAUCCAACAUUGCUGGAUCUAUAAGUGAAUCUGCAUGUUAGUGUAGUAGGUCGAGGAGGAACGUGCGUGUCUUUGAUCCUGUAUCAAGGUGAAGAGUAAAACCGAGCUGCACGGUCGAUCGAUUCUGCGAGGGUCGGGGUUCAAACGACCUCGAUCGUUUAGCGAGUCGCUGGCAACUGCGGAAAGGAAAGACUCCCUGAGAUGAUACGAGGAGGAAACCUUGAGAGGAACCGGACUCGGAAGGGAUAGUCAUCUGGAUAGUGUGAAAGUAAAAGAAAGUGCGUUAUGGUGUUUAUAUGAAGUCUGUUUGGUGAACUAGUCCACUGAAUUCUAAAGGAGACCUGAGUGCAAAACUGUAUGUGGUAACUGCAGUCCCAAGGACAUCGCUAAGGCAACCGUAGUUCCAGUACAACAGUGAGAAUGUACAUGAGGUCCAAAACCAUUACCAUGCUACUUCAAGCGGUACCGUCCUCGGCGAUCUCCAUGCUGUACCCUCCAGCCGAUGAGAGCUCCAUCCAGGAGUAGGGCAUCAGGAUGGAUCAGGCAGGUCCGGAGAGCAGAAAGGGUCAGGAUCACUGCCAUCUCCAUAAUAUCAUGUGUAGCUCGACAGAAGGAGAGAGGGAGAGGGAGGUAAAGAGAAGGAGCGAUUGUUAGGUAUGCUUUCUAUCCAGUAAUGGAUACAGCUGUAUGCUUCGCGUAAAAGACAAAGAACAAAUGAUUUAAGCAGACGUUAAUAUCACGGCUUUCUUUUUCCUUUCGGGACACUCUCACACACGACACACCGAUUUAAUUUAAAAAAUUUAUAGCAAAUAGGAAUGGUUUUUGGCUCAUUUCUGGACCUUAUUGAGCAUUUUCGGAUCAUUUUCCCCGAAGUCAAAUGCGUCUCACGUCUAUCGAACAUAAUUCAUCUUCGCAGCCGUCUGAGAACGAAGGAGACGUGCAAACAUGAACGGGUCCUUUUACUUUGUUAUUAUUGUUAAAUCGAUUCAAAACCAAAACUCGGUUUAACGUUCUUAAAUAUUAUUUCAGCGAUUUAGUGGUGUUACGUAUGUGGCCGUACCUAAAAAUACCAUCUAACCAGCACGGCCGAGCAGACAGUCCUAAUUCUUUAAUUAAAGACGAGAGUAUAGUUUAGGUUUUUAUAUAUAUUUAUAUAUAUACACAGGAUCCCAUAAACACAAAGAAUUAAAGGCUCGUAGUCUGGUAAUGACAUCACAGUGCUGAGUGGUGAGUAACCCAAUCUGGGAGGAGGCGACAGUUUACCGACCAGGAGACGAGGGAAACCAUGUGGGAGUUGGCGUCCGUCCUGGUACGUCCCUGGUGCCGAGGAAAAGCAAACAAAUGAAAGAGUUUAAAGACGCUUCAACAGCAGUCGUUUUAAAAAAAAAUCCUGUGCACUUCGUGUUAUAAUUAGCUUCAUUAUUCUUCUGUUAUCAAGGCCUUCAAUUUCUGGUGUUUUCCCUUGACUGGUCUGAGAUGGGCGGAGCUAAAUAGAGCGUCCUUGUAAUGUAACUUCUUGUACACAUAUUGAAUUAUCUAUGAAAGAAGCAGGAAUUAGCCAAGAAGCAUUUAACAGUUGCCUCUUUGUUGUUUGUUUGGAUUUGGGUGGGUGUGUGUGUGUGUGUGUGUGUGUGUGUGUGUCUGGAGGGGGCGUUUGAUCACAGUGGACCUUCCAAAGUUUUCAGAAAAGCUCAAAAGAAUUCAAAUUAGCACUGAAUCUUUCCGAGUAGCUUCUGGAAUAAAACUGGAAUGUCCUCGAGUCCUUACGUUUUUUCAUCUCGUUGACUUCAAGUAAGAGAAUAAAGAGAAGAUGCUGAGGGAAAGGGUCCUCACCAUCCAUCUCCCUGAAGAUCAAGCUCCACCCGUUCACCUCCAUCGUGAUCCCUACAGCCAUCCACGCCAGCGAGACUUGGAAGGCAUCAACGAGUAUCAAUAAGAAUCUCGAUAUCUUCCAGCAGAGGUGCCUACGCUGCAUGCUAAAGAUCCGAUACUACGACCAAUAUCACUGACGAAGAGGUGCUCCGAAGAAGUGGCGCAUGCGAACUCCACAACGUCGUCAUACGAAGUAGACUCCGACUGGCCGGCCACGUCCUUCACGCGGAGAACAGACGGAUCCCAAAGACCGCAGUGAGAUGGCGCCAGUGAGAGGGAUCUAAACGGCAUCGAGGAAGUCCCAGGAAAACCUGGAGAAGCACUUUCAUACAAGUUCUGAAGGUCGCAUAUCGCACGGGGCGACGCCGAAACGCUCGCCAGAGAUCGAAAACGCAGGAGAAAAACUGCUCAGUAAAUAUUCUACUUAGCAUAGGAUGGUCCAAGUCUAAUUACAGCCGAUGUAUCGUUAUAAUGUUUCUUGGACGUUCUACAAGAUUAAAUGUAACUGUAAAUGGAUAAAAAGUAUUAUGUGUCUCUUUAAUAGAUAAGAAAUUUUAACUGUUGGCAAACUGCUUUGGUAUAUAAGAGGAUAUAUAAAACACUUCAGGAUGUGCUGUCAAAGGAACAUAAUCAGCUUUAGCGUGCUAACAGUAACUCUUGCUCUUGCUCGCUAAACGCUUUUGUAUUCGAUCGCUGUGGUUAAAAACGAGCUCCGUCGAUUGUAUCAUUUCAAUGGAAAAUUCCGCUGCACGCUGUGAAAGUUAUCCGCCUGAUCCGGCGUCCCAGGUCCGUUUUCGUUCGUUUGUCAGAUAAUUUAACAUCGGUGUCCUAUUUACACUGUUAUUCUGCUCCAUCCAGGGGCGCGUCUCGGUUCAAAUCCCCAAACGUCUGAAUUUCACAAUCCACAAUCACAAGAUUUCACAAUCACAAAAAGUCUGUUGUGUUAUUAAAGCAGUCUCAGGGCGUCCUCUUCGUACUCCGUCCCGGGAUGACGAUCAGAAUCUGGUCGUCGUCCUGCCUCGGGUGAUCGUCCAGAGGAAUUUUGGGUCAUGACAUACUAUAGCUACAUUACAAAACGAGGAGGGUUAGGCAAGGACACAGGAGCAGCUGUGUUUGGUGUGGCAGGAAUGUGCGUCCAUCCUCUAACUUAUUUACUCUUUUAACAAUGUCACAAUCCGACAUUUAUCCUAGUGAUAAACGCAUAGAUGCAGUCCUCCAUCACUACAACUGCAUCCGAUGUGGGUGGCCUUCAGGUUUGAUCCCAUUUCACACAUUGUGACCUGACUAAGACUUUUUUGACACAUAUUUUCAGUAUCACUUUGAGGCUUCUAUCUGCACCUAUUUAGCAUGUCGUAGCCUUAAGGCAUGAUUCAGUCCUAUAUAAUAUGCUGCGAUGUGUCGUUUUACCCCAGCAUAUAUGAUAUAUCGAUAUAAACUUGAAAUGUUUUUAAGUGUCACUUUGAGGCAUGAUCAAGGCCUAUUUCGAAUGUUUUCAUACAACAGUUUGAGGAAGUAUAAACGCCUAUUUAAUAUUUUUUACGCAUCGCUUGGACAUAGUUACGUGUCACGUUGUGGCGUGACCGACUCGUGCGGCCGCGACCGCUACUUCCUGUCAUUUUGCAUGUCGGCAGCAGACACGUGGAGGGCGACUUUAUUGUUUAUCUUGUGAAGUAGGUGGAAACGGCGGCAGCAUGACCGACGGAGACGGUACACUAGGCUAUUGAACAAAUCUCGCCGGUGCUGAUGUGACGUCACAUCUACAGCUACUGCAGCUCCCUCGACAUUUACAUCGGUAAUGCACCGUGUAGCCGGUCAGCGUUAACUUCUGAACACAUGCCCGAGUGAUGCAGGAUACACGCGGCAGCCGUCUUGCCUAGAUGCGAAUGUAGUUCAAAGUAAGAAUAACACAGGCUUUAGUGACACGUUGUUUAUGCUUCACACAGCGUGAUGAAUGUCUACAUGUGGAGUCAUCUGCGUAUUUAUGAAAGGACAAGACGUAUUCCGAGCCGUUUAUUGCCCCUUUGGCGUCCCAACACAGGUAAGCCCACGUAAUUGCUCACGCCUCAUUGUGAAACUGUAGCUAACUGCACGAACCAACAGCUAAAUUACGCCGUUUAACCGGUGCAACUCACUCCUGAGACUUGUUCCACAUGAUAUAAUAUAGUUAGUUAGUUACAUUUAUAUGGAAAUUUUUUCUAGACACUCAAAGCGCUUUACAUAGUAUGAAGGGGGAGGGGUCUCCUCAACAACCACUAGUUUGCACUAGUAGGCUAUUAAUGGAGAGCAGAGAGAGAUGUAGCCAAUUCAGAGAUGGAGAUUAUUAGGUGGCCAUGAUAGAGAAGGACCAAUGGGGGAAUUUCGCCAGGACGCCGGGGUUCUACCCCGACUCUUUUACAAUAAGUGUCCUGGGAUUUUUAACGACAGAGAGUCAUUAAAACAGAGACAGAGAGUCAGGACCUCGGUUUAACGUCUCAUCUGAAAGACGGUGCUGUUUUUACAGUAUAGUGUCCCCGUCACUAUACUGGGGCAUUAGGACCCACACAGACCACAGGGUGAGCGCCCCCUGCUGGCCUCACUAAUAACUAUUGUAACGCAUUACAAUAGCUAUGUUUCCAUCCAAGUUGCGAAUUUCCCUGGCAAAAAAGUGUGAAAAGCUGAAAUAUCGUAUAAAUCGUUUGCGAAUAAAACAAAUGAUUCAAGAGAACAAAAUCGUCACUAUCUGGGGAAACUGGCGCGUCUUAAUCUCCGGCAUUUUUACUUUUCCGCAGCCUAUGAUUGGUUGAGGCAAAGUCACAUGACUUUUAUGAUGCACAUCUUACGUCUUUGUUUGGUUUGAUCCCGUGAUUUUGAAGUGCCUAAUUAGCGGUGGAUUAAUUAGAAUGGAUUAUGAUUAGAUAUGAUUAUUACUUGUUACAUAGAAAAACUGUGCAAUAAAGUGUUCUCCACAUCAAAUUAUAUGACGAUAGACCUGCGAUUAAAGAAAAUGACAACGUUCUGCGUACGUCGAACUCCCGUAACCCACGGUGCAAGAAUUUUAUUUCGCUUUAAAGGACUGCGUGAGGAAUUUCUUAAGAAGCGGGCAGGAGUAGGAUUUUUUUUUUUUUUUUUUUUAAUUUUCAUCUCACGCACAGUUGUAGAACUCUGAGCUACACCAUUCAGCGUCGGCUGCCUUUUCCCAGCCGUUUUCAGUCCGAGGUUGUAAGACUUCUUAGAUGUGCCUUUAUGAACACACACUCACACUCACACACAUGUGUGCUGGCUCCAGGAGCUGAGAGAUGGAUGGGGAACCCGGGGGAACAGGACAUACCUUGGCAGCACCAUGAUGGCGACGUGAGCGGAGUGAGGCCUCCUGCACACCUGAUCACAUACUGAGACCCCCAAGAGGAAAAGCCGCAAAAACGAAAGCAUGGCUUCGUGCAGGAGAGUACUUUUCCACUUGGGUGUAUUUUUAAAGGUCUAUGUUGCAGAAAAGGCAGUAAUGGUUUGAAGUAAUAAGUGAUGUACAGGGGUGGGUGAUAAGCUGUUUCUACUCGAAAUUAUUGUUAUUGCUGUUUUAAAAAAUGUAGAAAAAUCAUACCUGCAACAUCUCAAAUAAACAUCAUCGUUAAUUAUCGUAUUGUCACAUUGCCCAGCUCUAGUGGUGUAUUACUUUUAAGUUUUAUACACACUCUUAAACACAUUCGAAACCUUAAAUGUUCUGAGCAGUACCAUAAAGCAAAAUGUUUUCCAACCAGAAAGAGUCACGAGCAGAAGCUCGGAAAAAUCCAUCAGACCCUUAAAGAUCCCUUAAAGAACCCUUACUUCUAGGAGUGUGGGUGUUAACUGGGUAAGUGUGUGUGUGUGUGUGUGGUGUUACAAACUCCAAAUUAUCGCUCUUUAUUUUCUUCGUAAGACCUAGAACCUGCCAGGUUGUUUAUUUAGUUCUUAGUACUUUGUACAUGUGUAAAAAAAUUAAUAAAUAAAUACAUAAAUAAAUAAAUAAAUAAAUAAAUAAAUACGAUUCUUCAGGUGUUCUUUGAAAAUUCACUGAAUAAUCGAGUCCUUAUCCUCUUAAAAGGGUUAUACGUGAAACCUUUUCGGAUUUUUUACGGCAUUUGGUAGACGCCCUUAUCCAGAGCGAAUGACAUUUAUCUCACUUACACAUCUGAGAUGUUGAGGGCCUUGCUCAAGGGCCAAACAGUGACAGCUUGGAGGAGCUGGGAUCUGAACUCACGACCUGCUGGUCAGUAGACCAACGCCUUAACUAUCGAGCUAACAGUUCUACAUGCGCUGUAGAAGCUGUAAUGGUUGAAUCAGAGUAUCGACGCUUAAGGGUUCUAAACGUUUAUUUAGUAUAUGCAUUGAUAAUUGGACUAAUAUCUGGAUCGACCUUGUAGCUCUGUUAGAUUUAAAGGUUUAGAGGAAACCAAAAGAAGCCAAAAAUAAUCCCAGUUUUAACACUGUGUCCUUUUCCUAUUGCUGACAUUUUCAUACUUCUCAAAUAAAUCAAACAUUCAAGGGAUUUUUUUUUUUUUUAAAGCCCCUGUUAUUUUUACAUGGAGUUAAAGGUCGAGUGAAGGGCAGGGAACUUUCAAAACCCUGUUCAUGCUGGCAGCUGCACGAACAUAUUUAUGCGGUCACAUCUCCAUGUUGUUUCUAUAAGAUGCAUUUAAAGCAAAUAAAUUGUAAAUAUUAAGUUAUUCUGCCUAACGUCUCACCUCAGCUGAGGCUAAAAACAGCGUCGUGACCUCAGAGCCGCUCGCUGCUGCUUUCAGACAUAAACACAGCCAUCAUCCGCGGUGAAAAGACCCGCAGGUCAGACACAGGGAGUUCUUUAAGUUUCGCAGAGUUCAGGAGUUUUGUCGAGUGGGAGCACGGUGCAGUUUUCAGCACUCGGAGCAGGGUGGAGGAAAUCCAAGUCUUAAAGGCAAAAAGAUCAACAGGGAAAAAGUCAGGCGAAUCAUCAGUAGCACGUUCCAGCAAGUUCAAAUGAUUUGUAACUCUAUAAACUAUAAUAACAGAAUUUUCUGAUCGUUCCACCUGUGUAACAUUUAAAGAGGCUCAAAUAUUUGUCCAUAUUUGAUGGAGCUCCCAAGCAAAUGGAAAGUUUUUUUUAAAGUUCCAAACUCUCCCCUGCGUACCUACAGCCAAAAAAUUUGAGAAGCACCAAUCACGCUAGCGGAUCAUUAAGUUUACCAAAAAUAUCAACUUUUCCAAAAAGGCAACAUGUCAAAUUAAACACAACAUAUUAGACAGAGCAUCAGAUCCGAACAAGCAACUUAUCCCAAGUAACUAAUGCAGUAAAAACUCUUUAUCUUAAGUAACAUCAAAAAACCGUAAGCAACUUGUUAAAAGCUUAUCUCAAGAAAGUUGUUAAAGACAAUUUAUCCUAAGUAGACUAUAAAGAAAAACAUCCCAGGCAAUUCAUUAAAAAAAAUAAUAAUCCCAACUUAUCCUGAGCAAAAAAAAAUAUCUCAAGAAACUUAGGAGGAAAAAAACAGUUUAGCCCAAAAACCCUCAAAGAAAACCAAUAUAUCCCAAGCAGCAUAUCAAAGAAAAACAACUAAUCACAGGCAACUUAUCGAAGAAAACCAAACUUAUCUGAGCAAUGUAUAAAAGGUAAACAACUUAUCCCCAACUAUUUAUAAAGGGCAAACAACUUAUCCCCAACAACUUAUAAAAGACAAGCAACUUAUCCCGAGAAACUUAUAAAAUGCAAAAGACUUAUCCCCAACAACUUAUAAAAGACAAGCGACUUAUCCCCAACAACUUAUAAAAGACAAGCAACUUAUCCCCAACAACCUAUAAAAGACAAGCAACUUAUCCCCAACAACUUAUAAAAGACAAGCAACUUAUCCCCAACAACUUAUAAAAGACAAGCAACUUAUCCCCAAAAACUUAUAAAAG